rnacentral:lncRNA from 1 species
UCCAUGUCUAUGCUAUUGUGGAUAGCGCUGCAGUGGACCUACAUGUUUAUAUUCCUUUAGGUAUAUGUCCAGUUGUAGGAUUGUUGGGUCAAAUGAAACUCCUGUUUUAGGUUAUUGGAGGGAUCACCACACUGCUUUCCACAAUGGUUGAACUCAUUUAUAUUCCCGCCAGAAGUGUAUAAAUUUCCCCUUUUUUCUGUAACCUUAAAAAUCUGUUAUUUUUUUUUAAGAUUAGCCAUCCUGACUGAUGUGAGAGGGUACCUCACUGAGGUUUUGAUAUGCAUUUCUCUAAUGAUAGUGAUAUUCAGCAUUUUUUCCUAUGCUUGUUGGCCACGUGUAGGUCUUUUUUGAAGUGUCUUUUCAUGUUCUUUGGUCACUUUUUAUUUCUUGAAUGUUUGUUAAAUUUCCAUGUAUAUACUAAGUAUCGGACCUUUGUCAGAUGUAUAGGCUGCAAAUAUUUUAUUUCCCAUUCUGUAGGUUGCCUGUUUACUCUGUCGAAGCAUAAACCCUUCUGCUGCCACCAUAGCCGGCUCUUACCUGCGAGCACCACCUACUGGCCUGACGUUCAAACUGCAUGACCUAAUACAAACUCAAUACCACCAGUGUACAGCAGUUGAAAUUGAGAUUAGCUUCUCAUUACUUCUGUGAUUCCAGCCCCGC